UACAGGGGGUGCAAACGUUGCUCGGAAUCAUUGGGCGUAAAGCGCACGUAGGCGGUUCGUUAUGUCGGAUGUGAAAGCCCUUGGCUUAACCGAGGAAGUGCAUCCGAAAACUGGCGAGCUAGAGUACGAAAGAGGAUCGCGGAAUUCCCCGGUGUAGAGGUGAAAUUCGUAGAUAUCGGGAGGAACACCGGUGGCGAAGGCGGCGAUCUGGGGUCGAUACUGACGCUGAGGUGCGAAAGCGUGGGGGAGCAAACAGG
rnacentral:rRNA from 1 species